rnacentral:rRNA from 1 species
GCCCGCCAGAGAACUAAAAGCAAAACGCUUGAAACUCAAAGGACUUGACGGUGUCCCACAUCAACCUAGAGGAGCCUGUCCAAUAAUCGAUACUCCACGUUAUACCUCACCCCCUCUUGCAUUGCAGCCUAUAUACCGCCGUCGCCAGUUGGCCUGAUGACAGCACGCCAACACAAUAGUCCCACACAAAAACGUCAGGUCAAGGUGUAGCUUAUGAGGGGGUUGAGAUGGGCUACAUUUCCCACCAUAGGAAACUACCAACCGCAACAUGAAAAAGAGCAUUAAGGCGGAUUUAGCAGUAAGGCCGGACAAGAUACGCCACCCUGAA